rnacentral:rRNA from 1 species
AGAGUUUGAUCCUGGCUCAGGAUGAACGCUGGCGGCGUGCCUAAUACAUGCAAGUCGAGCGGAUGGAUUAAGAGCUUGCUCUUAUGAAGUUAGCGGCGGACGGGUGAGUAACACGUGGGUAACCUGCCCAUAAGACUGGGAUAACUCCGGGAAACCGGGGCUAAUACCGGAUAAUAUUUUGAACCGCAUGGUUCGAAAUUGAAAGGCGGCUUCGGCUGUCACUUAUGGAUGGACCCGCGUCGCAUUAGCUAGUUGGUGAGGUAACGGCUCACCAAGGCAACGAUGCGUAGCCGACCUGAGAGGGUGAUCGGCCACACUGGGACUGAGACACGGCCCAGACUCCUACGGGAGGCGGCAGUAGGGAAUCUUCCGCAAUGGACGAAAGUCUGACGGAGCAACGCCGCGUGAGUGAUGAAGGCUUUCGGGUCGUAAAACUCUGUUGUUAGGGAAGAACAAGUGCUAGUUGAAUAAGCUGGCACCUUGACGGUACCUAACCAGAAAGCCACGGCUAACUACGUGCCAGUAGCCGCGGUAAUACGUAGGUGGCAAGCGUUAUCCGGAAUUAUUGGGCGUAAAGCGCGCGCAGGUGGUUUCUUAAGUCUGAUGUGAAAGCCCACGGCUCAACCGUGGAGGGUCAUUGGAAACUGGGAGACUUGAGUGCAGAAGAGGAAAGUGGAAUUCCAUGUGUAGCGGUGAAAUGCGUAGAGAUAUGGAGGAACACCAGUGGCGAAGGCGACUUUCUGGUCUGUAACUGACACUGAGGCGCGAAAGCGUGGGGAGCAAACAGGAUUAGAUACCCU